GGGGCUGUGGCUCAGUGGUAGAGCGCUUGCCUAGCAUGUGUGAGGCACUGGGUUCAAUUCUCAGCACCA
rnacentral:tRNA from 1 species